AACCUUUACACUGCACGACAGUGCGAUAAGGGAAUCCCAAGUGCGUAGGCAUAGAGCCUACGCUUUUGUCCACCGUAGGGAGGUGGACGAAUAAGGGCUGGGCAAGACCGGUGCCAGCCGCCGCGGUAAUACCGGCAGCCCGAGUGAUGGCCGAUCUUAUUGGGCCUAAAGCGUCCGUAGCUGGCCGCACAAGUCCAUCGGAAAAUCCACCCGCUCAACGGGUGGGCGUCCGGUGGAAACUGUGUGGCUUGGGACCGGAAGGCGCGACGGGUACGCCCGGGGUAGGAGUGAAAUCCCGUAAUCCUGGACGGACCGCCGAUGGCGAAAGCACGUCGCGAGAACGGAUCCGACAGUGAGGGACGAAAGCUAGGGUCUCGAACCGGAUUAGAUACCCGGGUAGUCCUAGCCGUAAACAAUGCCUGCUAGGUGUGGCUCCCACUACGAGUGGGUGCUGUGCCGUAGGGAAGCCGCUAAGCAGGCCGCCUGGGAAGUACGUCCGCAAGGAUGAAACUUAA
rnacentral:rRNA from 1 species